UAAACCCUGCUCAGAAGUCAAGAGCAGCAGCGCCGCUGCUCUUCGAGGCCUUUCAUGCCGCAGCCACUCCUUAUUCUUGUGCCUCGGCCUCUCUGGGCGCCCCCGGACAAAGCCCCCUGGAGCCCGGCCGCUCCCUUCCCCCUAAAUCCCCUUCGGGGUCAGCGCGCUACCAGCACUGGGCCGUGCGCCUCUCCUGCCAGUCCUUGUGGCUCUUAAAGAGCGGCACCCCCCCUCCGCCCCGCGCUCCUCCGACCCCCGUCUCCCCGCCCCUCUCCUCUGGAUAUAGCCCCCAACUCCGACGCCUGAGGUCCCUGCUGCCCUGAC
rnacentral:lncRNA from 1 species